ensembl:ncRNA C24G6.10 ncRNA
AGCGAAGUUGCGGCUGACGCGUUAUUGGAUGCUGGCGCGUUUCGCGACCAGCGUUGGUUUUAUCGAGAAUUUUCUCUGCAGUACAAAGUCCCAAAUUCGGUGGUUUUUUAUCGAUUUGACGCGCGUUUGCUCAAUUUC